CUCCGGGAAACCGGGGCUAAUACCGAAUGAUAAAGUGUGGCGCAUGCCACGCUUUUGAAAGAUGGUUUCGGCUAUCGCUUACAGAUGGGCCCGCGGUGCAUUAGCUAGUUGGUAGGGUAAUGGCCUACCAAGGCAACGAUGCAUAGCCGACCUGAGAGGGUGAUCGGCCACACUGGGACUGANACACGGCCCANACUCCUACGGGAGGCAGCAGUAGGGAAUCUUCCGCAAUGGACGAAAGUCUGACGGAGCAACGCCGCGUGUAUGAAGAAGGUUUUCGGAUCGUAAAGUACUGUUGUUAGAGAAAAACAAGGAUAA
rnacentral:rRNA from 1 species